rnacentral:rRNA from 1 species
UACGGAGGGUGCGAGCGUUAAUCGGAAUUACUGGGCGUAAAGGGUGCGUAGGUGGUUUAAUAAGUUAUCUGUGAAAUUCCUAGGCUUAACCUGGGCAUGUCAGCUAAGACUGUUAGACUUGAGUAUGGGAGAGGGUAGUGGAAUUUCCGGUGUAGCGGUGAAAUGCGUAGAGAUCGGAAGGAACACCGGUGGCGAAGGCGGCUACCUGGCCUAAUACUGACACUGAGGCACGAAAGCGUGGGGAGCAAACAGG